AUUGAACGCUGGCGGCAGGCUUAACACAUGCAAGUCGAGCGGGGGAAGGUAGCUUGCUACCGGACCUAGCGGCGGACGGGUGAGUAAUGCUUAGGAAUCUGCCUAUUAGUGGGGGACAACAUCUCGAAAGGGAUGCUAAUACCGCAUACGUCCUAAGGGAGAAAGCAGGGGAUCUGUGGACCUUGCGCUAAUAGAUGAGCCUAAGUCGGAUUAGCUAGUCGGUGGGGUAAAGGCCUACCAAGGCGACGAUCUGUAGCGGGUCUGAGAGUAUGAGCCGCCACACUGGGACUGGGACACGGCCCAGACUCCUACGGGAGGCAGCAGUGGGGAAUAUUGGACAAUGGGGGGAACCCUGAUCCAGCCAUGCCGCGUGUGUGAAGAAGGCCUUAUGGUUGUAAAGCACUUUAAGCGAGGAGGAGGCUACUUUAGUUAGUACCUAGAGAUAGUGGACGUUACUCGCAGAAUAAGCACCGGCUAACUCUGUGCCAGCCGCCGCCGUAA
rnacentral:rRNA from 1 species